UCAGGCGCCCAUUUUGAAAAUUUUCCUGUACUGUAGCUUCUGGAGAGGGGGUUGUCUGUCGCGCGGGUUCUUCUUUGCGCCUCUCUCUACCCUCGCUUUCUCUCCCCGACGAACUCCCUCUCUCUCUGCCCUCGCUUUUUCCGACCGGCGAGCCACCACGAGCAACCGACGAACCAGGAGGAUACCGGCGAGACGACCGCGAGCAACCGACCGGUGUGCGACCUCCCUCUCUCUCUCUCUGCCCUCCCUCUUCCCGACCGGCGAACAACCGCGCCGCCCUUCUGGCUCCGCUUCUGGCCCCGACUCGUCCGUCCCGUACUCUUUAUCUCUCCUCGCAUCUCUGUCUGCCCUCCCUCUCUUCGACAGCGAACCACCGCGUGACCGGCGAACCACCGCGCCACCCCCCUCCGGCUCCAGAUCCGGCACCGGCUUGUCCAGGUUCUUGUGGAACUGUCUAUCACGCUCUGUGGGAGAAAGAAUUGGCUGCUGUGAAAGAUCAAUGCAGCUGAAGUUGAUAUAAUCGCUAAUGAACUUGAGCUGGACCGGAAGGUGGCUGAAAGGACCUUACGUGAGCAUAGAGGUGAUGUUGUUGCUGCAAUUCGUUCCUUGCUUCGAUAAAGAAUUGGUGGCACGAAAAAAUGGGAUUUGUGAUUUUUCUGAGGACAUACCGACUUGCCCAUAAGUCAUAACAUUGUCCAAGUAGGAUCAAAAAGCUGUAUGAGUCGUGCUUCUUUUGGGGAUACAUGACUUGCUUUCUGGGAGAUUGUACUCUCGCCGAUUUUGGCUGCUAAUGUUCAGCCCUGCAUUUUUGCCCUUCCAUGAAGUUCAUGCCGGGAAUUUUGGACAGUACGAAAAUCAUGUACAAUUUCAACGAACAAAAAAUCAUAAAUCCACAAGCCUAUGCUCAAUAAUGUGAGGUC